rnacentral:rRNA from 1 species
UACAGAGGGUGCGAGCGUUGUCCGGAAUCACUGGGCGUAAAGGGCGCGUAGGUGGCGCCGCAAGUCCAUGGUGAAAGCUCGAUGCUCAACAUCGAGUCGGCCACGGAGACUGCGGGGCUCGAGCACUGUAGGGGCAGAUGGAAUUCCGGGUGUAGCGGUGAAAUGCGCAGAUAUCAGGAGGAACACCGGUGGCGAAGGCGCCACUCUGGGCCGGUACUGACGCUGAGGAGCGAAAGCGUGGGGAGCGAACAGG